AGCGGAAUUCGUGAGACCCCUGAUCCAACAGUACUGGGGAGGAGGGCUAGGUGGUGAUGUGUUCUCACCUGGAGGCUGAAGGAGAAUAGAACCACUUUGAAUAGGCUUCUUUGCAGUAAAUUGGCAGACUUCAAUUCCUCUGGCAUUGACAGUUGUGGCCUUUAAUGGGGAGCUGUCCUUAACAUCUCACUGGCUGGCAUUCAAACAAGAUUCAGGGACAUCCCUCGCACCAACAAGUUUAUGUCUUGUUUCUUCCUCUGUCCAAAGCAUGGCCAAGAAGCCUUAGUCCUGUGCAGUGUUCAUGUCUACCAUAUGACGGGAGGGAGGGACACCCAUCCCUCUCUGUGUUUCAGCAGAGGUCGAACUUGUUUUCCUCUCAAGUUUGACAAAUCAUUCCCCAACAGUGUGGACUGAGAAAGUCUGAUCUCCCAUGGGUGCAACUCACUGAGGAGGAUACAUCUUUGACUUUAUGCCAAAGUUAAGUGUCUUUUCUGAUCUCUGCUGUCCCGAGAGUGGUGGAGGGCAACAAUACCAGUUAGAGAGAGAGAGAGAGAGACAUACAGACCAUACCAAGCUCCUAAUACACACACAGAAACAUGGGCAGGAAACAGGACAUACCAGAGGGAGAGACAGAGAGAGAACUCUGUAUCCUAUGACUGUGAUUCCCCUGAGCAAAGGAACUCAACUGUAGCAGACAGAUGUGUUUGCUCCCAUAUCACACUCCCAUAUCAUCCAGACAGCAUUCAACUCUCUGUCUACUGGAG
rnacentral:sRNA from 1 species